rnacentral:rRNA from 1 species
AUGGUAAGAAAGACACCUCAGGUUGUUGAACAAUGUUGCAGGGUCAUGUGCUGGUUAGCGGUCAUGGCAGAGUUGUGUGGUUUACCAGUGGCACUUGUAACAACAUACGUCCAUGGCGAUCCAAAACCGAAGGAUUCUGAAGUAGGCUUCCAUGCUUCUACCGGCACUCCUGUGGGAAGGUUCGUGCUGAGUAACCCAAAGAGAUUAGAGUUGGCGCCUAAUAUUUACAAUCUUGUCGCAAAGUGGCAGGCUGUACAUGUCAUUGUUCUUGGGCUGGCUGGCCCUCGACAAUGCUCGACAGUUUCCAAGCGCCAGCAAGGACAAACGAUGAUAAAAUGA